AGCUAGAUACCACGGUGAAACUGAGAUGAAAUAUGCCAGCGACUUACGGAAUCUAAACCAGGUCUAAAUAUACUAAUAUGCAUUUUGACUGCCAAAGAAGGAGCUAGAGAAGGAAAGUUGGUUGCCAUGUAAGAAGUUGACUACCUUAAGGUCUGCAGGCUGGACAGGCCACCUGUGCUCCAGAUGACCUCCCAGAUGAACACACGGCUGACAGUCACCCCUGGCAAAGCACCAGAUGGGGUUGCCUUAGUCCCUCCAGACCAGACCAGUCAUCGACUGAUGCCUCUGUGUGACAUCAGUUGGUGCCCAAAUGAAUUGCCAGCCACUUAAACAAUCAUGAGAAGGACGCUGGCUGGGUGGUUCAAUUGGUUAAGCACCCGACUCUUGAUUUCAGCCCAGGCC